UUUCUUUUUGUGUGUAACAGUCAUAUACCUCAGCCAGAAAAACUCUUUAUGAUGAAGUCUAAUCCUAGAGAUAGUGGAGACUGUGACAGAUAAACAUCUCUCUGUAUGCCAGAAUUUAUAAAAGCAUUUCUUUUUUUUAAGUUCCUAUCAAUGACUUCUCGAAAGCCAUAAGCAAAAUAUAUUUCAUACUGUUAGUACUUUCAGAGACUACCUUGGGAUCUUUCAGACCUCUAGGGACAUGAUUCUGCUCUGCCUCAGAUUACACAGGAUUGUUUAUUUGUCAGUGAAGUUAAUGCAAAACUUUACAAUUUUCACUCAUUUUGCUAUCUAUGUCCCCUUUUAUGCACAUCUGUAAAUCUCUUUACCAAAAUGUCAUGCAUUGAGGAAUCAAUCCAAUGGCUUUGUAUGAAAUACUGAAACGUAUUUAAAGGUGUUAUUUUCCCCUUUGAAUACCAUGGUAUACUUGGUCAUCUUCUUUUCUAGGAGGUCAUGUGUUACUGGCCAUCUUCCUGGAGGAGAUGUUUGGUGAUGAAGGUGUUCAAUAGACAGUAUAGUAUCUGGUCAGUCCAUUAUUGAUACUGUAGACAAUUAGGAUUCAUAGGGGUAUGAGUUUGUUUAUGUUAGCUCAUACUCUAGUUCACACUCAGAUCAUUGGCUGUCCAUAUUGCCUACGUACUGGCAAGCACAUGAGCACAAUUUUGAUGAAAAUUAACUGAGUCCUCUAAGAGAAACUCAUUUUGGGAGGGAGUGGAAAGAGAGCUGAUAUUAAAGUUUUGCCUUUACCUUGUCUACCUUAUCCCUCAAGAAGGAUAAGACUUCUUUUCAGGUGACAUGAUCUAGGUUUCUAGGUAUUCUAGUAAGCUUCAUGAAUUCUAUAAAAUUAUACCUCUUUUAUCUGUCCUGUCUUUGGCUGUCUCACUACAGAAACCAGUAUUCACUUUAGAAACUAGCUCGUUUCUUUCUGGAUGAUUCUUCUAGGCAUGAUUUCAAAUGGCUGGGACAAAGCUGCCUGAGACACCAAGUAAUUGGAUGAUCUUUCUAAAUAUCACCUGUCUUCUGGGAUCAAAGUCUGCAAAUUGUGUUCCUUACCAUCAGCAUGUGUUCUUAAUCCUGGACACUUUUCUGUCCUGAGUUGACUAGCAGAUCCACCAUCACCUAGCCCUAAUGUCCACUGCUGUCCCAGCAUAGUGUCCUCUCUUGGGCACCAGCAGAAACCAUCUAAGAGCACGAGAAGUCUUAGGGUCAUGAGAUAUGAUAGACAAUCUUAAACUAGAAGUUUUCUAGGGCCACAGAUUAUAUCUUUUAUUGGCAAAUAAGAACACAUUAAAGUACAUGUUGAAUUUUUCCUGUUUUCUGUAGCUAUUUCGCAUGCAGUCUUUUCCUUUUCCUUGGCUUUGCUAUUUACCUGUUGUGGCUAUUACGUCAAAAUGGCACUCUGUGUUUUCUCACUUGGUCUGGCUGCAAGACUGUAAGUCCCAUAACAACACAGUUAGCAUGUACCAUUGACGUGAUGCCGCUACAUGCAGUUCUUUUGUCCCUUCUGCCAACUCAUUCUCUCUCACUUCAUUCUUCAAAUCCAUUUCUCUAGACACCACUGACUCUAUCUUGGAAGACAACCAAUCACACCUCUGACCAUACCAUGGCUAUUCUCCCCAUACACAGUUUCUAGAAAUAGUAAUUACAGAAGUUACUGUAUAGAUGGAAAAAUCAUGAACAGCUGGAGAAGAUAGUAAAAAAGAGAAAAAAUGGGAAAACUGCCUGUACAACAAUCUACAUUUUACCCAUGGUUGUUAUUGAAAAUUCCUUUCAUGUUUCUGGCAUGUGAACAAAUUUCAUGUGUGAGGUUUUAUUUGUUUUGUUUUAUCUUUUUCUUUCAGUUGCUUCCACUACUGUAUGGACACUGGAGUUACAAGUAAUCAGAUGCAGUGAAAUAACAUGGUCACAUAAUAGCAGUGAAUCUAUGACAAUGUUGCAGCCUUCAAUAAAGGCUCUGAAUGUCUCAAUAUUUUUUACAUCCUCAACCCUACAGUGUUUUUUUUUUUUUUUUUUUUUUUAACAUUGUCUUCAUCUUACAGUUGAGGAACAGAUAACAAUUUCCAAAAUGAUUUAGAUGUUGUUCUAAUGGCAGAAGAAAGUUUAACCUCCCAUAAUUGCCUAGUGGAAUUACCAGACCUCACUUAUCUGGUCAAGUUGGUCACAUGAGCAUAUAUCUAUCAAGUAAAAGUGGUAAGUAAGCACCUAAGAAAAGGUCAGAAUUAGCUAUCUGAGCACAGAGUUAAAUGGAGCACAUAAUCAACACUGAAGCAAUCGAUCAACUAUUGAUUCAAAAGGGCUCUUGAACUAUGAACUUCCGGCUGAAGCUAAAGACAUAUCAGCCUUUUGUCUCUUUGUUAUCUGCCUUACAGCAUAUCUUUUUACUCUGAAAGACAAAAGAAGGUAACAAUGAAGAUCUUUGAAAAAUCAUUUAUCAGGCUACAAGACCCCUGGCGUGUUGAACAAGGAAGAAAUCAAACAAGAAAGGAGGUAACUUCUGCCCCAAUGGAUCCCAGAUCCAAAAUCUUCUUUGUAAACAUAGGCUUUCAUUUACUACAACUGAAUCAUAAAGUGACAAGUUUUCCCCUAGAAUUUAGCCUAAAGCCUCUUCUGAUCGGAUUAACUUAGUUGUAUUCAGUGGCAGACCUGGAUUAACCUCUAAGAAACACUGUAUUGUUUCUCUUCAUUGCAUAUAUCCCCAUGUCUCCUAUUAUCUUCUCUUUACUUCAGACAAAGUGAUACAAAGUUUAAUCCAUGAUAAGAUUUUUUUUUUUUUUUUUUUUUUUUUUUUAGUUUUGGCUAUCUGUUAAGAAGACUUCUUUGACAGUUAUUUCCCCUUUUAAUGCAAACAGCCCAUCCAAACAGAAAGCCUUAUCAAUAGAAAUUGUUUAUCUGAAACACUGAAGGGACAGCAGGAGAAGUGCAAUUAUUUUAUGGGUUGCAGGGACAAAACUGCCAGUGCUAAAUCCAUUGUCCCUUUUUGUAAACAAACUGAACUCUUGUAACCAAAUAGAAAACAUUCAUGUAUGUAUCGAAUGCAUAGUUCUUGUGAUAGACCUACUACUAUAUUGUAUUUUGCAGUGAAAGAGUUUACUGUAAAGUUUUACCAAC